CAGCCGCCACGGUAAUACGUAGGUCCCGAGCGUUGUCCGGAUUUAUUGGGCGUAAGGCGAGCGCAGGCGGUUAGAUAAGUCUGAAGUUAAAGGCUGUGGCUUAACCAUAGUACGCUUUGGAAACUGUUUAACUUGAGUGCAAGAGGGGAGAGUGGAAUUCCAUGUGUAGCGGUGAAAUGCGUAGAUAUAUGGAGGAACACCGGUGGCGAAAGCGGCUCUCUGGCUUGUAACUGACGCUGAGGCUCGAAAGCGUGGGGAGCAAACAGGAUUAGAUACCCGAGUAGUCCCUGUCUCUUAUACU
rnacentral:rRNA from 1 species